rnacentral:tRNA from 1 species
GCAUCUGUGGCCGAGAGGCCGAAGGCAGCGGACUCUAAUCCGCCAUUCCUAAAGGAACGUCGCUGGUUCGAAUCCAGCCAGAUGCA